rnacentral:sRNA from 1 species
GUUCGAAUCCUGCACGACCCACCAAUAUACAAGGUGGUAACUGGUAGAGAACGUGAAGGAUAACGUUGCUUUAGCAACGGCCCGAAGGGCGAGGCGAAGCCGAGUCAUCCUGCACGACCCACCA